rnacentral:lncRNA from 1 species
UUUUGCUUUCUGAAAUUUAAGGCUGAGAAAUUCUGGAAGGUGACUUCUCUCUAGGUGUUGGGCCUGGCACAGUGGCAUGAUUUAGAACUUGAUGACAAGCUAACAUCAUUUCUGCUGGAAUCUUAUACCAGAGUGCAUUGCUAAAGUUCUAUUUAUGUUCAGUUCUGGGACUUUGGGGUAGUCUAUCAUUGGUUUUGCUGAGUUUCUGUCUGAAGACUAUUCUCAGCCCCUGCAACCAUAUGACAUGAGGCUUGGCAUAUCCUUGUCAUACCUUGAAUUAUUUCUAUCCUUAAUCACACUAUUAAUUUCUAAAUGCUGGUGCGGCAUCUAAUUUUCCUGUGAUUACUCCCCAACUUUCUAAUUUUCUACUUUCAUCUUCUAGUUAAUUCUACAUCAUGUAAGCAGGUAGGCAAGGUAAGAUGACUUCUCCAUGCCCACAGGUAAGCUGUAAGAUGAACAUUUUCCCAUGUGGAGAUGGUGAUAGUUAAUUUUAUGUGUCAACUUGGCUGGGCCAUGGGUGCCCAAUUUUUUGAUCAAACAAUAGUCUAGAUGUUUCUGUGAGGUAUUUUUUAGACAAAAUUAACAGUUAAGUCAGUAGACUUUGAAUAAAGCAGAUUACCCUCUAUAAUGUGAGUGGGCCUCAUCCAAUCAGUAGAUGUCCUUAAAAGACUGAGGUCUCUGCAAAGAAAGGAAUCGGGCCUCAAGAUUGCCUUCUGAUUCAAGACUGCCACAUCACGUCCUGCUGGAAUUCCCAGCCUCCUGAGCUGCCCUACAGAUUUUAGACCCACCAGCCCCAAAAAAUAUAUGAACUAAAUGCUUAAAACCAAUCACUCAUUCAUUCAUUUAUUCAUUCUCUCCCUCUCUCUCUCUCUCUCUACAUACACACACACACACACACACACACACACACAUAUAUAUACACAUACAUAUAUACAAUUGGUUCUGUUGCCCUGGCAAGGCUUGAUAAAUCCAAGUUAUUAGAUACCUUCAGUAAAAUUUAUCAUGCAAUCUUUUAAAUACCAUACCUAUUACAUUAUAACCAGUGAUCUGCUUAAGGUUUCUGAAAUGAGACCAUAUUAGAAGACCAGAUAUACAGAACUGCUGAUAAUCAUGAAGCCAAAACUUACAGAAGGCUGCUAAUGGAUUUUAAAUUAAAAGAGCAAUUAUUUCUAGAGGUAACAAGAAAGUCAUAACUUAAUUUGGCCCUUUCAAAUCUCAGUUCCUAAUUCUCUACAUUGGUUUAUUUCUUACUGAAUGGAUCUCCAGGUAGCUUCAGAGGAAAUUAUAGCCUUGAAUCAGGAAAAUCUAAAUUACAGACCCCUAAAAGUCAUGUUCAUGGCAGAACGUUGCCUAUAAAUAUAAUCCCUGUGGAAAAAAUAUUUGAUAAAGCAUGAGAAUUUUACUGAGUGUCUAUCACUUGUGUUGAAAACUAUUAUUUAAAAAGCCUUUACUGUACAGUCUUUGUAACACAAACCAGCAUCCACUCAGUGCCACAACACAUGUCAUGGUGAGGUACAUUGGUCUCUUGCUAUUAGGAAAGGCUUAUAUUAAGUUACAUAAAGGGGGUAAGUGCCCACAUUGGUAAUAAAUACAGUUAUAGAGUAGGUCGCCAUGUCCUCUGGAAAAACAAAACAUAAUGCUACAUGAAUGUACUUUUCAAAAGGCUGAUUCCCAGUGCCGGCCCUGAAAGGUGUCAGCUUUUUCCUAAGGUAACAAAGAACUAACGUAUCUCCUCAAAUCCUUUAAUAGUAAAGCACUGGUCACUUUCUAUAGACUCUACCACUUGACUUUAAACUCAAACAAUAACCAAACAAUGGAUUUUUCCUUCAACUCUGAUCUUUAUUAAGAUAACUAAAGAACUAUUUAAUUUAAAAACAACAGACUGGACCCAUUCUACCUUUCCCAGUCUUCGAAAGGCCACUAAACAGGUCACGCCACAGCGAGUAUGAUUUUAUUUCAGGCCCAGUUGCUCCGUAGGAGAAUUGAGACCAUGAAAUUAUCAGAGCUUUGAACUUUGUCCUACACAGAAUACAAAAACCCACCAGUGUGAUCUCUAAGUUCGUGCUGUUGCCUGGCAUUAAGUUAAUAUAUAACAACAAUUACACACCAGAGAGAAAAAACUCAACAAGUUAAAUAUACACUCUAGGAAAACCCAAACUGGCAACAACAAGAAAGUGAUAAUCUGUGCAAUUUGGCUGGCCCUAUUUGUAUGCUUUUCCCCAUACUUUCCCACAUAUGUGAAGACAUUUGCUUGUGACGAAGUGGUUCCGACUGAGGACUGCCGGGCUUACCUCUGAUCCACUCAACAGACACAGGUUCUGUUGAGCUGAGUGGUUUUAGUUUUAAGAGAAAAGCAGCCUGACCACUUGGGUUCAGGUAAUUCUUCCCAGAGAAUACUGUAUGAAUUUCAACAUCCAAAUGAGUUUAACACUGAUUUCUCAAAAUAAGUCAUUCUCAGGAAGCACAGAUACAAGAUAGCUACUCAAAGCCACUCAUUCAAACAUGGCAGUCAACACAUACCACAAAUAAAAAAUCCACAGAGCUCUAGCCACUCUCCAUUUAGCACUCAAUUCUGUUACUUUUCACAACAAUCCUGUGAAAAAAUUAGCUUUUCCAGGGGCAUCUGGGUGGCUCAGUUGGUUAAGCACCCAACUCUUGAUUUCAGCUGAGGUCAUGAUCUCAGCGUGGUGAGAUGGAGCCGCAUGUCAGGCUCUGCACUGGGUGUGGAGCCUGCUUAAGAUUCUCUCUCUCUCCCUCUUCCUCUGUCCUUCCCCACUCCUUGCUCUCACCCACUCAUUCUCUCUCUCUCUCAAAAAAAAAAAAAAUAGCAUUUCUGGGUAAUUUUUUGUAAAAGGUUUUAUUUAGUUAUUCAUGAGAGACACACACACACAGAGAGAGAGAGAGGCAGAGACACAGGCAAAGGGAAAAGCAGGCUCCAUGCAGGGAGCCCGAUGUGGGACUUGAUCCUGGGACUCCAGGAUCAUGCCCCGGGCCAAAGGCAGGUGCCAAACCGCUGAGCCACCCCUGGACCCCAUUUCUGGGUAAUUUUUAGCAAGUUAUCUUAUCUCACUGAGCUUCAGUCUCAUUUGUACACUGGGAGGGAUAAUGGCUACUCAGUGUGCUGUGUGUCCAAGGCAAACCAAUACAUGAAAAACCUGGGUAGCACCAUUUCAUAGGAAGCUUACAUUAUUUAAAAAAAAAAAAAUCACACAGAGAAAAAUCAGGAUUAGAAUGAACUCACCAAAAUUUUAACCCCAGGGUAGAGAGAAAUGCAGUCACUUCACUUCCUCUCUCAGCCCAGGUAUGCUUCACAGGUAAAGCCACUGUUAUUGGCCAGCGGAGAACAUUAUAAAAUAAUGGAAGCCUUGCCUUGGAACUUUUUGACAGCUUUCCACAUAGAGAGAGUUUCAACUUUUGGACAUUAUGCUUUCUCAUGCACUAAGUUUAAGGAGUGAUGACAAGCUGGUCAAGUGUUUCUAAUUCUACCAUUAAUCUUGGUUUGGUUUGAUGGCAGUUUUCCACAGGGAAAUAGUGAAGAAUUAGGUCUAUCCUGAAGGAAAUUUGUAUUCAUUAUAUUGGACAAAUUUAUAUUCAGUUUAUGUGAUUUUAUACCUGAAACAUUUAGCCCUCUGCUCAAACAACUUCCACAUGCAAACAAAAAAAAAACUAGAUGAAAACAUUUAGACUCAGAGUAC